CAUUCCCAAGUGCCAUCAAAGCAAUAGUUGCAAGUCAUGCCCCAUCUACAGGUGAUAUAUCUCUGCUUUUAUUGUAUUGAUGGAUGUGAGUUCCAAGUGGUGCUUUUUGUGGAGGUGGAAAUCGGUUGCAUGGAGGGCCUUCCUUCCUUCCUACUUGGGUGGCCUUUGCAUUUGUUCCUUUUGACCCGAUUGGAGGCUUUUAUAUUGUAGUUUGCAAUUGAUUUCAUUGGUGUUCACCUUGUCCAUUGCAAAUGAAUUACCCAAUCAAUUAAUUUUGAGUGGGUGUAAUGCACGUUUGUUUUUGGUGCAUGCUGUGUGGAUUGCAUUGAACUGCAUUUGGAUUGCAAUGCUUUGCUAGAAAACAAUGCUGUGUAAUUAAAUGAUAAGGUGCUUUAUAUUCAGUGGAGAAUGUGAGAGGCCACAAGGUUUAAAACAUUUGAUUGGUUGAUUGGUCAACCACCUAAAGAAUUUAGAACUUGCAGCCACUCACCUUUCUCCCCCCCCCCCAAAGUGUCAAGAUCUCUUCAACAAAAAAUGCACUACACAUCAUCAAUAAAGGCAUUGAACUCUUAAGGUCUCAAAAAUGUUUCAAAAGAUGGUUAUGCUUAAAUAAUUUAUGAAAAACAUGGGCAUAAGGUUGUCCAAGACAAAUUAAUUAUAAAAUCUAAAUGAAUAAACUCACAUGAAAAAGAAUUAAUGGGGAUCAAAAGCUGUUGUUACAAUUGCAAAAUUCCUCAUCUUCUAUAAUCUUUCAACUCUAGGUGUUUCCAAUAUUUUCUCAAAUGAUGUUAUUUGAAUAAGCAUAACAUGCUUUAAUUUGUUUUUUGAAACAAGACCACUUGCAAUAAAAUAGUAGCAAACACACCCAAAACUUAACGUAAUUUAAAUUGUAAUAAAUAAAUAUAAUGUGAGUUUAAUAAAUAAUAAUAAUGAUAUUAUGGUAAUAAAAAUAAAAAAAAUAAAACUCUUUUUGGAAAUUAGAUGCAAAUAUCUAUUUGCAGUGAUUAGUGAUUAUGCAAUUUAGUACAUGGUUAAAUUUUCAGAAUCUUUUACACAAGUGUAGGAGAACUCAGAAUAAAAUAAAGUCCCUAUUAAUCUCUAAUCAACCUGGAUUAUUUAU
rnacentral:lncRNA from 1 species